GAUCACUCUGAAAUGAUCGGCAGGGAGCAUAUCACAGAAAGGGUGUUGGAACUGAGAGUGGGAGCAGAGGACUCUGCUCCCAGAGAGGGCCUAAGGGACAGGCUAUGAGAAGGGAGAAAGCAAGAAGGUGACUUGAGCUGCUCUCUCCAGAGAGAGACGAGAGGAAGGGACAUCAUGGAAGAGGAGAUCUUGUGAAGGUAGAGAGGUCCUGGCGCAGGUUUAUUUACACACAUAGCAAGCACUUCAGGAUAUCAACUCUGUGUAGACAGCAGCCCAGGAAAACGCCAGUCUUUUUGCCCUCACACGGAGAGCUGAAGCCCUCUGUCCCAGAGUCUUCUCAGGACUCAGGAUUGUUGGCCUUGGCACUGACCAGCAGAGCCCGAGACGUUUGUGAUGUGGGCACCCAAGCACCGGGGAUGUGAUGGGCUUCUGUAUUUCAGCAUGGGUAAUGUGGACAAAUUGAACUUUAACGCUCCUGAAACACUGGGAAUUGUGACUUCCACGGGAUUGACCAGGGCCAGGAGGGGCUAUGCCUAGCACUGUCACCACGGGUGGGGCCACAGCUCUGUAACGCUCCUUCUGGUUCUUGGCAAACCGUGUGUUUGUCAGAAGCUGCUUUAUGGUUUCUAGAGUUUUGUUUCGUCUAUGAUUUCUGUGCUAUUGUGGGGACUGUGCUGUGCCUACCCAGUAGCUGGACAGUUUUAUCUACAUUGAUUGCCAUGCUACUGUAAGAUUGAGCUAUCUAUUAUCUAUCAUCCAUCUAUAAUCUAUUGUCUAUUUAUUAUCUUUCAUCCAUCUAGCAUCUAUCUACUUUCUACCUGUCAUCUAUUAAUCUAUCUUCCAUCUAUCAUCUAUUUAUUUAUCUAUUUAUCAUCUAUCACCCAUCUACCUACCAUCUACUUUUCUAUCUAUCAUCUACCUAUCAUCUAUAAUCAUCUAUCUACCUAUCUAUCUAUCUAUCUAUCUAUCUAUCUAUCUAUCUAUCUAUCUAUCUAUCUAUCUGUUAUCAUCAUCUUACUAUGGACUCAUAGAUUCCAAUUUUAUUAAAUGGUUUUAUAGUUUCA
rnacentral:lncRNA from 1 species